rnacentral:misc_RNA from 1 species
CCGAGUUUACCAACUCCCAAACCCCUGUGAACAUACCCGAACGUUGCCUCGGCGGGACCGCCCCGGCGCCCUCUCGCGGCCCGGACCCAGGCGCCCGCCGGAGGACCCAAACUCUUGCCCUGAACGGCGGAAUCCGCUCUCUGAGUCCCACGAACAGAAAUGAAUCA